CUGCCGCCGUCGCCGACGCAGCUGCUGCCGUCGCCGCCGCUGUUAUUGCCGUCGUCAUCGUCGCGACACGUAGUACGUCGCCGUCGUCGUCGUCGUCGUGGUCGUGGUGUUUUGCCGCAACGUUCGUCCAGGUCGCGCGUGCCUACGUUCAAACCCCGGCGAAGUUUGACGUUUCCGGGUCGACGGAAACGCGCGCGCGGGAAAGAGGGAGAAAAAGAGUACACCCAGUGAGAGAGGAGAAAGUCGCGCGCGAAAUUGAGAAAAAAUCCAGGAGAGCUCGUGUGUGAUCGGGGAAAGCUGAUUAUGAGUUGGAACGUUGGUGCAACGGCGGUUCAGCGAGCCGACUGAGAGAGAGAGAGAGAGAGAGAGGGAAAAAAAGAGAAGGAGCGAGAGCGGUUGUUUUUUUCAUUCGUGAUUCAACUCGCACGGAUAUACGUACAUCGUCGUCCGUGCGCGCGUUAUUCGGGUUCGCGAGGAAGUACAUCGGGAUUUUACGGUACAAAAAGUGUGUGAGAUAACCGCGAGUUUCUCAGAGACAGGCAGUUUUCUCUCGGAACAGUGGUGUUCGCUAAGAUUAAAUAUACCUACUCCGCGGGAAUACGUAAGUGGCCGAGGUUUUAUUUUCGAAAGUGUUUUGUCGAUUGGUGAGACAAGAGGAGAGAGAGAAAAAGAGUUUUUAAAUCUCCGGGACAAUUCCCCGUGUCAAGGUGACCGACAACAUCACGGCAAGAUCGCGUCUGAAUCCGCUGCGUGUUCCAGAGCAAGAACAGCAGGAACUGGAGUUCGACCGCGCGGGAGGAGCCAACAGCGCGCCGAAUAAAUGACGUAAAUCCGAGGAACGGAAGCGCAACGUCACUCGCUAACUCGCAAUUCUCUCCUCUCCCCCCGCCCCACCCUACCCUCUCCCCGGAAACCUCCCUCUCUCUGUCUCGUCGCACCCUUCCUUUUCCCCCGUCUUCUGCGCGGGUCCGAUCCUCGACACGACCCCAAACGCGACCGGACCUUCGCCCUCUCCUGUCGCGCCCGUCGUGUCUUCACGUGCUUUACACCAUCCUCUUACCACGCUCCUCUUUAUCGUCCGUCUCCGUUACCAAUCUCUCUUCGCACGCUUCUUCAUCGGUAUCCGCGUCGUCUCCCUUCCCGGGCAUCCGGAAUUCCCGAGAUAAUCGACUCGCGCGCCGCCAUUCCGCCUCUGGUGAACAGAACCGUGAUCCUGAUCCUUCGCCGUAUCGUGACUACCAACACCAGCGUGACCUCCUGUACUCCUUCCAGUCACGAGAGAAACACACGUUAGUUUGAAACCGGCUUGAAGGACGCCACGAGACCGGCUUUCCGAGAGACACGCAUAUACGUAGACAAACACACAUACACACGCGGACGACAGUACACCCUCAGCAGCAGCGACCAACUGCAGCCUCCUGUGUGUAAUAAAGGAAGAGGAGAUAUACGCGUACAAAAGCGCGCGCGUCUAGAGAGCACACUCCUCUUGGUCGACGUUUAGCUUCGAAGGCUUUCAAGCUUUGCCCGACUAUUACUACUACUACGUCCUCGGCUUUCUCGAGUGCGGCGUGCUGCAAGAUCAAGGAAGAUAGAGGAAGUAUAGAGCGAACGAGGAGUCGAUAGACGAGAUCGACGACCUUCGUCAUCGCCCAGGACGGGAGAGAGUAGCUGUGCCAUCUCGCCUAAAAUCGACCGGAGUCUAAUCGCUGUCGAUAUAUAGCUUCACCCUCUUCGCUUCUUUUUCUCCUCCGGUUCUUUCGCCUAUAUAUAUAUAUAUAUAUAUACACACACUUCCGGCUUUCACACCCACUCGGAGAUUAUUCGGAACGGGAAACCAACGCAACAACGGCCUACGAGAGAGCGCGAAGAAUCUCGCACAAUCGCUAACCAUCGACGACGACGCCUAAAUUCGCCGCCACCGCGCUCCUUCGAUUAAUUCACCGUGACGCGGAAUCGAUAUCGGGCGGGAGAGAAGCGAUAAGCCACGCUUCGACGUUGCUGAUAAACGCCGAAUUUCCGCGAGACGACGAUUCGCUGAAAUAUCGCGCGUCAACAACAACAACAACAACGACGACCGUGAGCCGAGCGCGGCUUCAACGUGAGGAAGAUCGAGAUCGCGAGAGACACAAUAGUGAUUUCUCACGCGUACAUGGGACAUUAAGAACGUUGCAUCCUGCUUAAACGGAAGAUCUUCUGCCGUCUGUAAGUCGACGCGAGUGCACGCGACCGGGGAUAAAGGCGCUGAUCAUCACGCGAGGAGGAAUUUAGGAAGGAAGAGAGAGAGAGAGUGGGAGAGGAGAGAGUUAUAUCGGUGGUGAAUUCUCGGUGGUGGAGAGUCUCGGGACUUACUCUCAAACGGUCAGCGCACGAACGGGGGAUUUCUUCGGUCUUCCAGGAGUGGAAGAAUG